AUUGAACGCUAGCGGGAUGCCUUACACAUGCAAGUCGAACGGUAAGGCCCUUCGGGGUACACGAGUGGCGAACGGGUGAGUAACACGUGGGUGAUCUGCCCUGCACUUCGGGAUAAGCCUGGGAAACUGGGUCUAAUACCGGAUAGGACCACUGCCUGCAUGGGUGGUGGUGGAAAGCUUUUGCGGUGUGGGAUGGGCCCGCGGCCUAUCAGCUUGUUGGUGGGGUGAUGGCCUACCAAGGCGACGACGGGUAGCCGGCCUGAGAGGGUGACCGGCCAUAGUGGGACUGAGAUACGGCCCAGACUCCUACGGGAGGCAGCGGUGGGGAAUAUUGCACGAUGGGCGCAAGCCUGAUGCAGCGACGCCGCGUGAGGGAUGACGGCCUUCGGGUUGUAAACCUCUUUCAGCACCGACGAAGCGCAAGUGACGGUAGGUGCAGAAGAAGGACCGGCCAACUACGUGCCAGCAGCCGCCGUAA
rnacentral:rRNA from 1 species